UCGGGCUUUCCAUUCAUUUGUUUCUGAAUCUUUACGUGUGCCUGAGUGUUGUUUGUUUCUUAAGUAAAUGCUUUGUAUAUGCUUCAAUAUGUUUGUAUAAAUUUUUAUAUGUGCAUGUAUACUUUUGGUAUAUGCCUGUAUAUGUUUGUAUUUUUUGGUAUAUGUGCUGUAUAUUCAGCGUUCUUCUUUUCUUGUCUCAACAUUUGGAUGUCAUAUUUUAAUAUCUGAGGAAGAAGGCAAAAUAUGGACCUAAUCUUGCCGUAAAGUUUACUACAACUGACUUUUAUUUCAACAAGAAGCUUUAUUUACUCUAUAUGGAGUUUGAGAAAAAAGGUCAAGAUUUUUCUGUGAUCCCAAAAGAGCAUGAAGUAGAAGAGUACAUUAGAGGUUGUUGCUGUGAUGCAAAUGUAGCUUGGCACAAAUUUGAUCAUGUGUUAUUCCCGAUUUAUAUCGAUCGGGGAAAAUCUAAAUUGGGACAUUGCGUUUUGGGUGUCUUUACCUUCAGUGAUUGGUGUAUCCAUGUGUACGACUCCUAACGUGAUUCAAAAAAUGAUAAACUUGCUAUGAAAACUUUGUUACCUUACAAAACAUUGCUACCAUACUUCCUAGAAAAGUCCAAAUUCAAUGUUAAGAGGGGGGUUGACAAAACUCAAAGUGAUGCUUUGCUGAUAAAUCUGGUUGAUAACCUGCCACAACAAAUCAAUAGUGAUUGUGGAGUUUUUGUUGCUGUCUUUGCAGAUUAUUUCGUGCACGGUAAAGAAAUCAAAAAAGACAAUAUUGACAUUGAGAUACAUCGCACCAGGUAUGGAUCCCUGUUGUGGGAUUAUGGAAGAAAAAAAUAAAA